rnacentral:rRNA from 1 species
GCAUAUCAAUAAGCGGAGGAAAAGAAACCAACAGGGAUUGCCUCAGUAACGGCGAGUGAAGCGGCAACAGCUCAAAUUUGAAAUCUGGUCCCCUCUGGGGGCCCGAGUUGUAAUUUGAAGAGGAUGCUUUUGGCGAGGCGCCUUCCGAGUGCCCUGGAACGGGACGCCACAGAGGGUGAGAGCCCCGUAUGGUAGGACGCCGAGCCUCUGUAAAGCUCCUUCGACGAGUCGAGUAGUUUGGGAAUGCUGCUCAAAAUGGGAGGUAAACCCCUUCUAAAGCUAAAUAUUGGCCAGAGACCGAUAGCGCACAAGUAGAGUGAUCGAAAGAUGAAAAGCACUUUGAAAAGAGAGUUAAACAGCACGUGAAAUUGUUGAAAGGGAAGCGCUUGCGACCAGACUUGCGCCCGUCGGAUCAACCGUCCCUCGUGGGCGGCGCACUCCGGCGGGCUCAGGCCAGCAUCAGUUUUCCCGGGGGGAGAAAGGCGGUGGGAACGUAGCUCUUCGGAGUGUUAUAGCCCGCCGCGUAAUGCCCUCGGGGGGACUGAGGACCGCGCGUAUGCAAGGAUGCUGGCGUAAUGGUCGUCAGCGACCCGUCUUGAAACACGGACC